AGUGAACGCUGGCGGUAGGCCUAACACAUGCAAGUCGAACGGCAGCACAGUAAGAGCUUGCUCUUACGGGUGGCGAGUGGCGGACGGGUGAGGAAUACAUCGGAAUCUACUUUUUCGUGGGGGAUAACGUAGGGAAACUUACGCUAAUACCGCAUACGACCUACGGGUGAAAGCAGGGGACCUUCGGACCUUGCGCGAUUGAAUGAGCCGAUGUCGGAUUAGCUAGUUGGCGGGGUAAAGGCCCACCAAGGCGACGAUCCGUAGCUGGUCUGAGAGGAUGAUCGGCCACACUGGAACUGAGACACGGUCCAGACUCCUACGGGAGGCAGCAGUGGGGAAUAUUGGACAAUGGGCGCAAGCCUGAUCCAGCCAUACCGCGUGGGUGAAGAAGGCCUUCGGGUUGUAAAGCCCUUUUGUUGGGAAAGAAAAGCAGCAGGUUAAUACCCCGCUGUUCUGACGGUACCCAAAGAAUAAGCACCGGCUAACUUCGUG
rnacentral:rRNA from 1 species